ensembl:snRNA U7 U7 small nuclear RNA
GAGUGUUAUAGCUCUUUUAUAAUUUGUCUAGUGGGCUUUCUGUUUUUUACGAGAAAGUCCUC